rnacentral:lncRNA from 1 species
AGGGUACUAAGAGAUAGUAUAGAAUUGUGUUUGGCACAUAGGAGAUGCUUAUGCUAUUUAAAAAAGAAAAUCAAAAGACUCAAUAGAUACUUAUUAAUUGAUUUCCAGACCCAAUGGGCUUCAUCAAACAUAUUGCCACAGCCCAUAAAUUCUUCCUUCACAUCCCUGCCAAGCACAGCCUGGUGCCACAUGGUAACUUUGCUGACACAGUCUAGUUGCUCUUAACCAGGGUCUGGUCUCCUUGGGAUUCAGCACCCCAAGGUCAGCCUGACCCUAGAGGAAAAAUGAGCAAGGGACAAGCACUUCUAAGGACACAGGAGACAGGCUGCGCCCAUGACCACAAAGAUAAAUGGGCAUUGGGACAACCAUGUGAAGGACCAAGUUGCAACAUGAAGUAAGUGUACUGUUCAGCAUGAGUCAUUUUAAAACAGAAAA